rnacentral:lncRNA from 1 species
UUUGUUUUUCUUAGAGCAUUGUUGUAAAAUGUAAACGUGCCGCCCAAUCAUUCCCAAAUUUGAAUAACCAAUGAACCAAAUCACUAUAAUCAAAUCACAGACAUAGAUCAGUCUCACUUUGGGACUGACAAAACCAAAGCAAACAACCAUACCAAAACACAACAUUCUCAAACAAUAACCAGAAUUACCACUUCAAGAAUCUGUAAAAUCACAAAAAUGCACAACCACCUUCCACCACCACCAACCACCACCAGAACCACCGCUAAAAUCUCAACACCCUUUAUCCUCAUUGCCACCACUCUCUUCUCACUUCUCCUUAUUCUUUCCUUUACCUUCACUUCUUCCCCCACCCCA